CCUACGUGGUGCAGCAGUGAGGAAUAUUGGUCAAUGGGCGCGAGCCUGAACCAGCCAAGUCGCGUGAGGGAAGACGGUCCUAUGGAUUGUAAACCUCUUUUGUCGGGGAGCAAAAGACGCCACGCGUGGCGUUCCGAGAGUACCCGAAGAAAAAGCAUCGGCUAACUCCGUGCCAGCAGCCGCGGUAAUACGGAGGAUGCGAGCGUUAUCCGGAUUUAUUGGGUUUAAAGGGUGCGCAGGCGGGAGAUCAAGUCAGCGGUAAAAUGUAGAGGCUCAACCUCUUCGAGCCGUUGAAACUGUUUGUCUUGAGUUAGUGAGAAGUAUGCGGAAUACGUGAUGUAGCGGUGAAAUGCAUAGAUAUCACGCAGAACUCCGAUAGCGAAGGCAGCAUACCGGCGCUCAACUGACGCUCAUGCACGAGAGUGUGGGUAUCGAACAGGAUUAGAUACCCCUGUAGUC
rnacentral:rRNA from 1 species